rnacentral:rRNA from 1 species
AUUGAACGCUGGCGGAAUGCUUUACACAUGCAAGUCGAACGGCAGCACGGGGCAACCUGGUGGCGAGUGGCGAACGGGUGAGUAAUAUAUCGGAACGUGCCCAAUCGUGGGGGAUAACGUAGCGAAAGUUACGCUAAUACCGCAUACGAUCUACGGAUGAAAGCGGGGGAUCGCAAGACCUCGCGCGAAUGGAGCGGCCGAUAUCAGAUUAGGUAGUUGGUGGGGUAAAGGCUCACCAAGCCAACGAUCUGUAGCUGGUCUGAGAGGACGACCAGCCACACUGGAACUGAGACACGGUCCAGACUCCUACGGGAGGCAGCAGUGGGAAUUUUGGACAAUGGCGCAAGCCUGAUCCAGCCAUGCCGCGUGAGUGAAGAA